AAAAAGGAAGUGGGGGUGGGCGACGCAUACAGAACAGGAACAUGGCGUGGAGUGAUCUGUGGAAAAUUACAAGUUAUAACAUCUGCCUAUCUUCGACUGGCCCACUUUCCUGCUUGAUCCUCACAAACAGUUUCACCUGACUCACGGGGCAGAAACUGGACACGGGCUUCAACUGAAGGACAUGACUUGAAAGAACAACAGGAUUGAGGGCCAAAUGCUUCAGCGAUUCCUCUCUGCCCAGGCACCUGCUGGAGAGCCUGACACAGGCCAGCUCUGGACGUCCCCGGCAAUGAACCCAGAAUGGUGAAAUCAGUCCUUGAGGCUCACUACGUGCAAAGCUUUAUCUGUAGAAACUCACCCCAACCUCUCCUGACCGCAGAAAUAGGGAGCCUCACAACCUGUGUCUCUAACAGGCUUGGAGGUGGCUCUGUCAUAGCUGCCAGUACUUUGAGAAUCAACAGGACACGCACACUCCUUCUGGAGGUGAGUGCUCCGCUAACGCUGCGGAACGCCUGAGAAAUGGGACAUGGGAAACCACAGAAAACCAAGGGGCACCUACAGCUGCCUUCAGUGCCUGGAAGGUUUUUGUUCUUGUUUUUGUUUUUCAACCCUGCCGACCUCACUGCCUUGAUGUCAAAGCCCUACUUUGCCUUCUGCACCUCUGUGUUUGCACUAAUCACGUUUGCCAUCUAAGGUGUGGCUCUCGUGACUGCCAGCAGCAGUGUCACCCCGAAACUAACCAAGAUGCAGCAUGCAGCCCCACUUCUGACCCUCAGGAUGGUGACCUACGCUCUAACAGGACUCAGAGGCACUGCCUGGAAGACCUCCAGGAACCGGAAACGGUGACUGCAACCCUGUCACUGGCUCCCAGACAGCUUCUUCCUGGAAGUCCCCACACAGUGACACUGGGAGCCUCGCCUGCUCCUUGACCACCUGCUUCUUGACUGUGCAUGGAGCCUGCUGGAGACAUUCCCUCGAUCUAAGCCCUGCACGCCAAGUCAAGGACAUCCUUCCUUCCGGAGCUGGAUGUCUGCUGUCCUUGUCUCGGGACAACCGACUUCCUCCAGGGCAGUCAGGGCCCAGAGCCUGAGCACAUCCUUCAAAGCACCGCCCUGUGGCUGGGCGACGGCCUCUCGGCCCGUUCUCUUCCCGGGCCCCCUGCAUCCUGGAGCACUUGGCCAGUGCGAGGCAUCCCUAUCACACCUUAGAAAAUGCCGCAGUGCAUGGGUGGAAACAGGAAAAGUCCAAGACCAAAAGGAAAAGCAAAUACCCACACACCAUCCCCUCAGUCUCCGCAAAGCCGGAUGUGCCUUGUCCUCACUGACCAGGAUGCGAGAUCUCUGGAUACGGACGGGACCCUGACUAAUGCUUCUGACCGCAGGAAAGCCACACGGGCAUCGCCACGCCUGCAGAUGGAGGCACCGGUGGGCUCCAUUUCCUACUAGAAAAGUGAAAGGCAUCACAUUAACCUCAGCCUUCCGCAGCGAUUCAUGUUUAAACAUGUGCCAAUGUUUGCAAUGCGCAGCACUUUCCCGUCAUUGAUCCAUCCUGAUGCCUAACACAUACGGAGCUGGCGACCUGACACUCUGCACAUCUUCCUCUCCUUCCUCUCAUGUGGCCAUGAAUUAAGAGCUUUUUCUGGGGACAGCAGCUCCUCCAGCACAGCACUGAGCAUGUGAGAUGCUCAACAGGAGCCCUUUGUCAUUAGAGAAAUAAAAGAGACUCUGGCCCCAGUUGCAGUAGAUUUUGACUGGAAAGUAUCUUUAAUUUACCCGACACAGGGAUCAAUAAGCAAACCUUCCAUUUUCACUAUUACUCAACAGCAGUGCACCGAGUACAUUCGAUACACUGCCCUUACUUAAUACUAAGUAAUUUUUCCAGCUGAUGACACAAAACAGCAAUCACCAUUACAGAAGUACUCGUAAACUGGUUCCUCUCAUGUUUUCAUUCCUUUUUCCUUAUCCUCUGGUGUACACAUAUUUCAGUUCUGGGGCAAGUCAUUUUGUUCCUCUGAGCCUAUUUUUCACUUAGAAAACAAAAGGAAGAUUUGGGCCAUUUCAGAUUGAGAAGUUCUUUUGGUUGGCCUUUAUCCUCUCAAAAAACAUUUAUCUUAGGCUAUUUCUCCUCUCUUUGAGCACCAGCUUGCUUGUGAAAAAAGAAAACAAAGGAUUCCCUGAGAGCCUUUC